AGGACUUAGCUAACUCUGUGAACAGAUCUUUGAAUGCCUUCAUGUUCACAGUGGCUAAGUUCCGC
rnacentral:pre_miRNA from 1 species